UGUAAGCGUAUACCAAAGUUGUUGCAGUUAAAACGCUCGUAGUCGGAAUUUGGCGGUUCCGGAUGUGUGCACGUCGUGCGCGCACUUCGCGGGGAUUGCUUUUGUGGUCUUGCGUAGGAUGAGGCACUUUUAUUAGUGAACGUCCUCACGCAACCACUUUUUACUGUGAGAAAAUCAGAGUGCUCAAAGCAGGCAUUUGCCGUGAAUGUAUUAGCAUGGAAUAAUAGAAUAGGACUUGGUUCUAUUUUGUUGGUUUGUUGGGACUGAGUAAUGAUUAAGAGGGACAGUUGGGGGCAUUUGUAUUUCGGUGCUAGAGGUGAAAUUCUUAGAUUACCGAAAGACAAACUGCUGCGAAAGCGUCUGCCAAGGAUGUUUUCAUUGA
rnacentral:rRNA from 1 species